rnacentral:snoRNA from 1 species
AUAUGAAGAUAAUUUUACAACCCGAACCCUCGUGUGGGCCUUUGCCGUUUUUGGUAAAGGGACGUAAUUCUGAUUUA